rnacentral:lncRNA from 1 species
AUGAAAACAUACACUAACGGCGGCGGCGGCGGCGGAUGGAAAGGCUAUGAUGGUGGUGGGUUUUUGUUUUCAAAGGGAGAAGAAGGGUGAAGGCGGAAGCUGAGUUUUGUUCCACUCUGUCUAGUCUCUCUCUUUUUCUCUUGAUAAACUAGCUUUUUGAUUUUGUCAAAACCAUCAAACAAACAAAAAACUAUUGUAACUUGUUGACCUGCAUUUGGAGGUUAAAAUUCACAUUUUCCAUGAUGGGAAAGGAAUCAACUUUCCCAUGUGAAACCUCACCUAUAAAAUAAGUAGCGUCACAGAUAUUAUCCU